rnacentral:lncRNA from 1 species
AGAAGAUUAAUAUUGUCAAUGGGCACAAAGAAAAGGGAACUGGAAAGGCAGGAGCAUGAAGGUGAUCUAAGUAUAUCCUCGAUUUAACAUUAUGGUGUAUUUUCACAUUAUUGUGUUAAAAAAAAUUUCCUUCCUAUGAACCUUCGAAACUUUUCGUACGAUUUUUGCCUUACGGGGCUUUUAUUAUCAUGUGAGUAGAAACACCAUUCAGUACUAGAGGCUUUAAAGCAUGAUACGUCUCGUUCAUGUAGUUAACUUUAAUUUGACUUACCCUUUAAUGCCGACUAAACAAAAAUAAAUUAAACUGGUGUUUUAGCACCAAUAGUUCUCGAUAGCAUUAUUCAUAUAACUUUUUCUUUUUUGAUGAUCAGUUGAUUUUGCACAAGACGCAGCUGGUUCACAUCAAAAUAUCAAGGAAUCUUCAGCUUCAAAAUAACUGCAGAAUAUCUCAAAGAAGAGAGAAUCAUACCAAUUCAUACAGUUGUAUUGUCUGCGGCAUUGAAUUUAUCACCUUUCCUUUUAUUUCAUCCAAAGAAAUAUUUAUUGCACUUUCUAUCCAGGUCAGGAAAAGCUUCAUCGUCGAUCAUGUCAAUAUAAUAAUUGAUUUUUCUUCUCUCAGUCUGGCCAUACAAAACUUUUGGAACAUGGACCUUAAAGUUUCAACCAUCUUUCUACUUGAUAUUUUCAAAAGCUUUUUUCCUCAAAUUUUGCUUUUGCUCUUAAAAGACACUGGUCGUAAAGCAUUGUUAAGGAACGAUUUUUUUUUUGUGCAUUUUGGCCUUUCUUUUUUAUAAUGGGUUUGUAUCUUGACCAUUCUUUCCUCGUCAUCUACAUUGCAUAAUUGUUCGAGAUUUCUGACCGUGCACUUCAAUUUUGUCUUUAGUAAUUUCCAUCUCUUGAAAUCAUCAUUCAAUUCCUUUGCAUGGUUCCCAGGAGGAUUGUAGUGUGUCGCAUUGGAAAAAUCAACCUAACAUCAUUAGCUAAUUCCUCUGCAUCAAAGUAUGUAUUGUCCCUCUAGUUUACGUUUUAUCGUUCCUAAAUUCAUUGGUUCAAUAGUUGUUGGAAUCAGUAGGAGAUCAAUUGGUUGAUUUAAAGAGCCCAUCGGUGAUCUCAAAAUACUUCUACAUUGCUGCUUGAAACUUCAAUCCAUCCUAUGCUUCUUUUAUCCCCUUUGACACUCAAGGAUCACUCAAACUUACGCUUCUUGGAGUUACUUGAUUAGGAAAAUUUGACUAAAUUAGAUUUUUUAUUUGCAUUAACUGCAUCCGUGCAUUCAUUUUUUAUUAUCACUGUGCGGUUUUUCACGUGAGUUCUCUUGUGAUUCAUGCUAUAUUCUUUGUGAGCUGAUUCUGUACUUUAUGAUCCUCGUGUUACUAAUAGCCGCCACAAAUUUAAAUUCGUGAUUUAAUGGAGAAUUGC